rnacentral:lncRNA from 1 species
GGAAGAUGAUCAACCUGUUCAAGAGAACAACCUUACUUUUCACACUCCCUGGAGGCCUUCAUGGGAAAUGGAAUGUCUCAAAGACAGGCAGCAGGAGAGACGCUGGUAAUCUUCAGACUGGACACUCAGCUCCUGAUGAUACGAGAGACGGGGAGGUAGAAGGACAGAGAAUGUUCCUGUUUGGGGCUCCAUUGAAAGACUCUGAUGCAGUUUCCUGCCAGGCCCCCACUUUCUCUUUUCUAGAGAUUUUUCUCAAUUACAGGAACACCAUAAUUAGAACUUCUGAAAAUCACAAGUUUAGGUAGCAGCUGGCUGGGCUUUAGACCCCAUGGAUGUAGGGUGAGAU